ensembl:antisense Gm15587 predicted gene 15587
AGACAAACAUAUGUCCUUGCUCAAGGCACAGCACACGGUGAACCUCCGCGGCUAGCUCUGUCCUCAGGAGGUCUUGCACGUUUUCCACAGAGAGGAUUGUAGCCUGGAACAUCUUCCGCCUGUGCACCUUGUUGGGAAAGCCUGAAGAGAGGAGGCUAAGGUCCCUGAGACCACUGCUUCAGUGUCUCCAGAUGCCCCUUGUCCCCUCUUCCUACUCACUUGUGCUGCUCAGGCCUAGGGGAGCUGUUGUACGGGCCUGACAUUUCCAUGAGUGCUGCUGCAAAGCUCUGUGCAGGGGAGAGUCAACAUGGUGGCACCUCUGAAGAGGUGGACAGACUCCAUUCUUUUUAGCCCGCUGCCUCUCAGGCUUCAGUCCUACCCGGGGAUCAAACGCCUUCCGAAAGAGUCUUCCCAGCUGCUGUGCGUAGCUCUGGGCCCGGCCAGUCUCAGAGCCAUACAGAAUGGUUGCCUUCACACGCUUCGCCAUCACCGUGCCCAUGAGUGAGGCAGAGAUCUUCACUGCACUGCAGGGAUGAGGUUGUCCUGGUGUCUAGAUCCAUGCAGACAGCCACAUCCUGGGUCAAGUUGAAGAGAAGCAGCAAAAGAGUGGCUCCUGCCUCCAGGUUUCUGUUGUAAGUUCCUGCCCUGACUUCCUUCAGGAAUGGGGGAACCUAUGAGUCGAUAGAGGAAAGAAACCCUUUCCUCCCCA